rnacentral:rRNA from 1 species
GACGAACGCUGGUGGCGUGCUUAACACAUGCAAGUCGAACGAAGUGGCGAACGGGUGAGUAAUACGUGGGUAACCUGCCCUCCUUUUUGGGAUAAGCCUUGGAAACGGGGUCUAAUACCGAAUAUAGGGGGAUGGGCUCGCGGCCUCUCAGCUUGGUGGUGGGGUGAGGGCCUACCAAGGCGGGGACGGGUAGCCGGCCUGGGGGGUGGGCCGGCAACAUUGGGAAGGAGAUACGGCCCAGAGUCCUCCGGGAGGCGUCAGUGGGGGAGAGUGCACAAGGGGCGAAAGCCUGAUGCAGCGACGCCGCGUGGGGGAUGAAGGCUUUAGGGUUGUAAACCUAUGUCGCUAUAGAACGGGUAGGUGGAGAAGAAGCGCCGGCUAACUACGUGCCAGCAGCCGCGGUAAUAC